rnacentral:rRNA from 1 species
UACGGGGGGGGCAAGCGUUGUUCGGAAUUACUGGGCGUAAAGGGCGCGUAGGCGGUUGGAUAAGUCAGCUGUGAAAACCACGGGCUUAACUCGUGGCCUGCAGUUGAGACUGUCUGGCUUGAGUGUGGGAGAGGAGAGUGGAAUUCCUGGUGUAGCGGUGAAAUGCGUAGAUAUCGGGAGGAACACCAGUGGCGAAGGCGGCUAUCUGGACGAGUACUGACGCUGAGACGCGAAAGCGUGGGGAGCAAACAGG